rnacentral:snoRNA from 1 species
AGCCCCCUGGCAAUGGGCAAAGAGAUACUUCAUUGGAGGUGUUACUCUCCUGUCAGUCAGGGGCAGAGCAGAUGACAGGCUUUUGUUCAUCCUAGCUUGGUAUCUGGGUCAGUGGCCAAAGCUGGUUUCAUGCCUAGGGCACAUUU